ACGCUGGCGGCAUGCCUAAUACAUGCAAGUCGAGCGAACAGAUGAAGUGCUUGCACUUCUGACGUUAGCGGCGAACGGGUGAGUAACACGUAAGGAAUCUACCUAUAAGCGGGGAUAACAUUCGGAAACGGGUGCUAAUACCGCAUAAUAUCUUCUUCCGCAUGGAAGAAGAUUGAAAGACGGCUCUGCUGUCACUUAUAGAUGACCUUGCGGUGCAUUAGUUAGUUGGUGGGGUAACGGCCUACCAAGACGAUGAUGCAUAGCCGACCUGAGAGGGUGAUCGGCCACAUUGGGACUGAGACACGGCCCAAACUCCUACGGGAGGCAGCAGUAGGGAAUCUUCCGCAAUGGGCGAAAGCCUGACGGAGCAAUGCCGCGUGAGUGAAGAAGGCCUUCGGGUCGUAAAACUCUGUUAUAAGAGAAGAACAAAUUGUAGAGUAACUGCUACAGUCUUGACGGUAUCUUAUCAGAAAGCCACGGCUAACUACGUG
rnacentral:rRNA from 1 species